rnacentral:rRNA from 1 species
GAUCAUGGCUCAGAACGAACGCUGGCGGCGCGUUUAAGCAUGCAAGUCGAGCGGCAAGGGCCUUCGGGCCCCUAGAGCGGCGGACGGGUGAGUAACACGUGGACAAUCUGCCCCCCGGCCCGGGAUAGCCCAGGGAAACCUGGAUUAAUACCGGAUGAGACGGGACCCGCGAAGGCGGGACCCGGGAAAGGCGCUGCGGCGCCGCCGGGGGAUGAGUCUGCGUCCCAUUAGCUAGACGGCGGGGUAACGGCCCACCGUGGCGACGAUGGGUAGCCGGCCUGAGAGGGUGGACGGCCACAUUGGAACUGAGACACGGUCCAGACUCCUACGGGAGGCAGCAGCUAAGAAUCUUCCGCAAUGGGCGAAAGCCUGACGGAAGCGACGCCGCGUGAACGAAGAAGGCCGUGAGGUUGUAAAAUUCUUUUCGGGAGGGGGAACAACCGUGGCAGGGAAUGGCCGCGGGAUGACGUGAAUCCCGGAAUAAGCCCCGGCUAACUACGUGCCAGCCGCCGC